rnacentral:lncRNA from 1 species
CUGACUUUAGGGCCUCUACCCAGCCGACCCAGCCGACCCAGCCGACUCAGCCACUCAGCCGACUCAGCCGCCAGCGCAUGCCGGGAAGUUCCCAUGCCACACACACACACAAACACCCCCGCAAUGGGAAGCGACCAGAGCAGCAGUCUGCUCGCCACGUGCAGGCCUCAGACCGGAAGUCCACGUGCCAGAACCGGGACCAGGAGCCAGAGGGGUCCCAGCGCAUAAUUUGUGGAGGCUUCAUCCACCGGGCUCCCAGAUGGCGUCUCAGCCCAGGUCCGGACACAAAGAUACUGGCGACCUCGGUCUGGGCUUUGUGUUCCAUGAGCUUCAGGAAGACAACGAUGUAAAGGCUAUAGAGACCUCGGUGACUGAAGCGGUAGGAGACAAUGAGAAGAAAAUACGGCCUGAACCGGAGCAGGGAGCGGGGGCAGAAGAAGAAAGUCACGUCUGCCCUGGAGAGGCUGACCCCAUGUUCACCAAGAACCUGAUGAAGGCCUGCGGUGGCCACCAGGAGUCCUGGCAGCCACAGCCUGAGGAGUCGGCCCAGGACUCCUCCUCCUCUGAGCCGCAGCCCCAAGAUCAGCAGCAUCCCUUUGUCCCUGUUGGAUUCAGUGGGUUGCAGCUGAAGGAGCUAGAGAGCAUUUUCCGGCGCUCUCAAUAUCCCGACGUGUUCCCUAGAAAGCAGCUGGCAAUAUGCAUGGAUGUGAGUGAAGCCAAAGUGGAAGCCAGUAAGCCUGAUGAAAGCAAUUGAUCAGAGUAGCCACUCUGACACCUGCUUCAGUCCUUGGAUACCUUUGUCUUACACAUUCUCCAGUUGGCCUGUUUUUGUUGCCUUUUCUAUGUUUGCAAAGUGAGUUCUGAGCUUUAGAGGGUGAAAAAUGGGAUAGGGAAACCCCAGCUUAUGGAAAUUUCCCAUUACUGGAGGGAAUGUGCUUUCUAAUAGAAAAAUAAAACAUACCAAACUGCUACUUCUAUUUCCUGUACAAAAUUGAGUAUAAAUAAAGUUGACUUCUUUCUAACGAUGGUAUCCUUUAGAGAAUACUUCUGUGUGGAGGUAUGUUGAGACAGACUGACUUAGAAGUAUGCAAAUUAAUUCACCAAGGAACUAGGAUGUGAGAAGUUUCAACUAUAUUUAAAAUAUUUAAGCCAGGGUAUGUUCUUAGC